rnacentral:sRNA from 1 species
GCACCCUUACAUUAUUAAAAAAAAAAAUACAACGUGUGAGAUAAAUAAUACGUUCACAAGGCUAUCUUAAGUGGUCUGCAGGAGUUCUGAUGCCCCUGUACUUACUAACAGAAAGUAACUCAUUGUAGAUUACUCGCGCUUAAAAAUGUUAAAUACAGUUAAUGCAAUAUUAAUCGCCCUUUGGUGAUAUAAAAUGCAAUAUUUUCAGGCAGCUAUUGAGCUUUUCCAGAGGAAGGGCGAUGAGAAGAGUCGCAGCUGAAUAGUGGGAGAAAAAGCCUGGUAUUUAUUGCUUUUGUUUGGCUUUUGGCUACAGAGACAGGAACCUUCUAAUGGGGAGACAAAUUUGGUUGGUAGGCCAAAGAGCUCACAAGGACCAACACCCCUCCCCCCUUCGAGGGUCAGGAAUCAGCUUGAAGCACAAGGAUCUUCAUUUACUAGAUAGAAUCAGACAAUCAAAAGAACGGCCUACUGCUCUGUCUUCAUGCUAACAAUGGAGGGAGUAUCAGCAACAGAACGGUUGUAAAUUAUUUUUCCCUUGGUUUCAUAGUGGUUGCAUGGUACCUUAGGCUUGGGUGACCCCGCUUGUCUUAUUGAACACAUUUCAGUAGGCAUGGGCUUGCCUGUGUUUGACCUCCUCUCCCCUAUCAUCUUCUACCAGGGCAGAGAAAGCUGAACCUUACAUGGCCAUACAAAAGCUACCCCCAGCUUCAUACAGCCGUACUGCUAAGCCUUCUGCAAAGACAAAGGAAAGAUAAAUCUGGGAAAGGAGAACUAUAGAGGGACAUUCUAAUAAUGGAUGUCAGGGAACUGAUCCACCCUAGCCCUUAGUUUUCUGAAGACAAAAUCUUCCUGUAGGGAGAAGGUGAUACGUGUCAUUUGCAGCUCAAGUGCCCUGAUGGCUUCCCAUUCCUCAUGGUUUUAAGGUGAUACUUUCCAUGAGAUUUAUUCAGGAAUCUGCCUGUGCAUAGCACGUCCUAACACCCACUCUGCCCAUCUUCUGCAUGUAACUUAGCUAGCUACCUGAAAUGCAUGCUUCUCCUUAGCACAGACCUUUGCCCUGCUGAGUGCUACAGCCCUCCACAGUUUGGUUACUUUCCUGGAGAAGCCCUGUCUGGGACAUUUCAUUUUAUUUUCUGUGCUAUUAGAACUCCAAACUGAUUUCUUCUUAUGUCAUCCAGUCUUAUCUGUGUACUCGUUUAAAUGUCAUCUGUCUGUUGCUAGUAACCAGGGAGUUCAUUUGUCCAGAUUUAUGUGUUUCUGUAAAAACACUGGGAGUGGAAAGAUACCUGGUUUGAAUACUGUCUUCUUAGUGGUUGCACAGUGCCUGGAACACGUGAAUUUGCAUAUUUGCAUGCAUAUUUGAGAGUGAUCGUGUCAUUGCCCACAGACUAUAGAAGUAUGUUUAUAUUUCAAUGUCAAUUCAAAAUGCCCUUGUCUGAGUUCCAGCAGCAGCCGGGAGUUUUCAUUCCUGAUCUGUAGCAGCAAGCAGAGAACAUGACACUGGUUCUGGAAUGGACUUCUGAAACCUCAAUGCCUCUUCCACUGCCGCAAGUCCUACAAUAUGGCCACACCUCCCAAUACUUCCGAAACAGUUUCACUAAUUGGAAACCAAGCAUUCAAACCUGUGGCCUUAUGUGGGCCAUUCUCUUUCGAAUCACCACAGACAGAUCCUCUGACAGAUGUCUAAAUAUUUAUAGUCCUCAGUUUCCAGCUGCUUGUGAAAGGAUAAUAUUGUGUGAACAAAGGUUCAGUGAAGGUCUCUGCAGAGCAACCCAGGGAAGACCCUAUGACAAGGAAAAUGUAGCAAAAUAAAAUCCUAUACAUGUGACUCACAGGUCAAACACGUGAUUAGACCGAUAGGAAGAACAUGGAGUUAAAUGAGAAGGAGAUACAGAGACCUACAACGGACAUGAUGCAUAGUGAGAUACCUUGGAACACUCAGCCCUAAGAGGGAUGACUCCAUUCAUCCUUCUCCUCACGGCUCAGGGAACCUGUGGAAGAGGGGCAGAAAGAGCCAGAGACGACAGAGGACACUGAGAAAGCAAGACCCUAUAAAUCAACAUGAGUAAAGCUCACAUAACUUACAAAGACUGGAGCAGUGCGCACAGGGCUUGUGGUAGUCUGCACCAGGUCCGUGGCACAUAAUGAUGCUUGUUUGUUUGUCUUGCCCAACUCUGUUAGUUUCUUUUUUUAUUUAACUAGUACGAUUAUAGUACAUCAUUAUACUUAUUACCCCUUAGAAGCCUGUUUGUUUUCUAGUGAGAGACCGAAAGGUAGAGGAUGAAGAUGAGAGGAGAGGUGGAGAGAGACUUGGAGGAGUAGAGGGGAGGGAAGCCAUAAUCAGCAUAUUCUAGAUGAGAAAAUAAAUCCAUUUUCAAUGAAAGAAAAAAAUAUGGAAAUUCCCUCCUGUGAUGGUUUGCCUAUGCUUGGCCCAGGGAGUGGCACUGU